rnacentral:rRNA from 1 species
UACAGAGGGGGCAAGCGUUGUUCGGAAUUACUGGGCGUAAAGGGAGCGUAGGUGGGUCUGUAAGUCAGUGGUGAAAUCUCCGGGCUUAACCUGGAAACUGCCAUUGAUACUAUAGGUCUUGAAUAUUGUGGAGGUUAGCGGAAUAUGUCAUGUAGCGGUGAAAUGCUUAGAUAUGACAUAGAACACCAAUUGCGAAGGCAGCUGGCUACGCAUAUAUUGACACUGAGGCUCGAAAGCGUGGGGAUCAAACAGG